UUAAUAAAAUGGCUCCAAAAGAAACAUUUGCUAAAAAAAAAAGUGACGUGUGCAAGGUGUCAUGGUAAAAUGAAGCUGAGACCUGCCAAUAAGGCCGACCACUUUGAAUGAACGUGAUCACAAAUUGGUGUGGAUUAUGUGAGGCCAGUCUGAUGUACCCUUAUUGUAAAGUGUUACCGAUAAUUGUUCCCACACAUUUUUGUGUAUUUUAUUACCUUGUUUCAACAAAGUAAACCAUGAAUUUCAGAGGAAAAACUCAAACCCUGUUCAGUUAAAGCCAUACGUCAACUGAACAAAUCGGCACACCAGACCUACAGAGUUUUUAUGGAUAAGGAAAAGCUGCUGAAUUAAUAAAAAUGCAGGAAAAUUUGUUGAAAGGUUCAUCUUUCAGUACAGGGAGAAGGACCAUGAAGUAGGCAAUAGAUAUGCUGUACAUGUGACACUGUAGUAUUUGUUUACAAGUACCUACCAUUUGACAGAGGUCAUGUCAUCUUCCAAAUGUGCAGCGAUCAUUGUAUGCCACAGCAGCUGUUUGAGGGCAGAGGGCCUUGCCCAUCAUCGUGAAAUGUUGCAUUAUGCCCCUUUGAAUUUGAACCCUACAGGGACAUGAACAUCCAGUGGAUAUCUGGAUCAAGACUGUUAUUUAAAUCUCAGACCAUCUUCACCACCAUCCCUCUUGGGACACCUUCGAAGUACUGCACAAAAGACUCUUCAAAUCAA